rnacentral:rRNA from 1 species
UACGUAGGGGGCAAGCGUUGUCCGGAUUUAUUGGGCGUAAAGGGCGCGCAGGCGGCGCUUCAAGUCCGUUGUGAAAUUUCAGGGCUUAACCCUGACGGGUCAACGGAAACUGAAGGGCUAGAGUGCAGCAGAGGAAAGCGGAAUUCCCGGUGUAGUGGUGAAAUGCGUAGAUAUCGGGAGGAACACCUGUGGCGAAAGCGGCUCACUGGACCACAACUGACGCUGAGGCGCGAAAGCUAGGGGAGCAAACAGG